rnacentral:rRNA from 1 species
GACAGAGGGGGCAAGCGUUGCUCGGAAUUACUGGGCGUAAAGGGCGCGUAGGCGGGAUGGCAAGUCGGUCGUGAAAUACCUCGGCUCAACUGAGGAGCGUCGAUCGAAACUGCCGUUCUUGAGGGUUGCAGAGGAGACUGGAAUUCCCGGUGUAGCGGUGAAAUGUGUAGAGAUCGGGAGGAACACCGGUGGCGAAGGCGGUUCUCUGGGCAUUACCUGACGCUGAGGAGCGAAAGUGUGGGGAGCGAACAGG